GCCUUACGCGUCCUCUCCGACAAUCGUCUCGGCUACGCCACUUCACCUCAAUUUUGCAAAUUAACUUCACAGCGGCACUCGAUCACUGAUCACGGAUGAAUCUCUGGUGAUUUCAUUCAUUGGUAUGAGGAGCUAUGCAGGGAUGAUGGGAGCGAUUCAGCAGCCGACGCCUAUCACAACCAACUAGUUGCAGGAGAUGAGAAGGCGCCCGACGAUGUGCCGUGAAGCCCCAGACCUGUCCGGAUCCCAUACGCACACCGUGUGCAGAGCGCCUCUGUCCAGAUGCUGAGGGCAGGAUAUCUUCUUGCCAAGUUCCAGAUGAUGGGAUCGGUCCUCCUGCCAUCUUGUCAAACCCAUUCUUACUGACAAGCUGGAGGUGAUGAACAGAAGGCCAACAAUAAUGG